UACGGGGGGGGCAAGCGUUGUUCGGAAUUACUGGGCGUAAAGGGCUCGUAGGUGGCCAACUAAGUCAGACGUGAAAUCCCCAGGCUUAACCUGGGAACUGCGUCUGAUACUGGAUGGCUUGAAUUCGGGAGAGGGAUGCAGAAUUCCAGGUGUAGCGGUGAAAUGCGUAGAUAUGCGGAGGAACACCGAUGGCGAAGGCAAUCCCCUGGACCUGUACUGACGCUCAUGCACGAAAGCGUGGGGAGCGAACAGG
rnacentral:rRNA from 1 species